CGCGCCAAGGAAAACCAAACGAAGCGUCCGCCCCCGGCAUCCCGUUCGCGGGGCGUGCCGUGGGAUCGGGCGUCUAUCAAAUGUCAAAACGACUCUCGGCAACGGAUAUCUCGGCUCUCGCAUCGAUGAAGAACGUAGCGAAAUGCGAUACUUGGUGUGAAUUGCAGAAUCCCGUGAACCAUCGAGUCUUUGAACGCAAGUUGCGCCCGAAGCCAUUAGGCCGAGGGCACGUCUGCCUGGGCGUCACGC
rnacentral:rRNA from 1 species